rnacentral:rRNA from 1 species
UUAACACAUGCAAGUCGAGCGGGCGAGGUUGCUUCGGUAACUGAGCUAGCGGCGGACGGGUGAGUAAUGCUUAGGAAUCUGCCUAUUAGUGGGGGACAACAUUCCGAAAGGAAUGCUAAUACCGCAUACGCCCUACGGGGGAAAGCAGGGGAUCUUCGGACCUUGCGCUAAUAGAUGAGCCUAAGUCAGAUUAGCUAGUUGGUGGGGUAAAGGCCUACCAAGGCGACGAUCUGUAGCGGGUCUGAGAGGAUGAUCCGCCACACUGGGACUGAGACACGGCCCAGACUCCUACGGGAGGCAGCAGUGGGGAAUAUUGGACAAUGGGCGCAAGCCUGAUCCAGCCAUGCCGCGUGUGUGAAGAAGGCCUUUUGGUUGUAAAGCACUUUAAGCGAGGAGGAGGCUACUUGGAUUAAUACUCUAGGAUAGUGGACGUUACUCGCAGAAUAAGCACCGGCUAACUCUGUGCCAGCAGCCGCGGUAAUACAGAGGGUGCGAGCGUUAAUCGGAUUUACUGGGCGUAAAGCGUGCGUAGGCGGCUUCUUAAGUCGGAUGUGAAAUCCCUGAGCUUAACUUAGGAAUUGCAUUCGAUACUGGGAAGCUAGAGUAUGGGAGAGGAUGGUAGAAUUCCAGGUGUAGCGGUGAAAUGCGUAGAGAUCUGGAGGAAUACCGAUGGCGAAGGCAGCCAUCUGGCCUAAUACUGACGCUGAG